GUCCACGCCGUAAACGAUGGUCACUCGAUGUUGGCGAUACACAGUCAGCGUCUGAGCGAAAGCAUUAAGUGACCCACCUGGGGAGUACGAUCGCAAGAUUGAAACUCAAAGGAAUUGACGGGGGCCCGCACAAGCGGAGGAGCAUGUGGUUUAAUUCGAUGAUACGCGAGGAACCUUACCUGGGCUAGAACGUGGAAUGACCUUCCGUGAAAGCGGAAUUCUCUUCGGAGCAAUCUACGAGGUGCUGCAUGGUUGUCGU
rnacentral:rRNA from 1 species